rnacentral:sRNA from 4 species
AUAUCUCUCUGUACGGGAAGGAUGAGAAGCUUCGACUAAGGUUCGAUUCGAGCGUCAGCGAGAAAGCGUUGCCGCUGGCAACGACCCGAAGGGCGAAGCGCGCAGCGCUGAGUCAUCCUUCCCCCACCACCA